UAUUCCACCGCUUUCCAAUAUAUAGGACCCUGCCCUCUUGUUCAUCAUCUUCUUCAAGCAGCCAUCCAUGGCUUUUUCUGAACGAAAAAUAGGACCGCCCUGACAUCGUCUUCAAUACCACCCAAAAAUGACCCCUUCGUUGGAGCUCCUUCUUCAUUACAAUAACAACAGACCAGAGCUUACACCUUCAGGACCCCUCUCUUCAGCUAGACACAGCGGCUUCUCCACCAGAAAUUGUUGUUCUAUCUUUUUCUACACCCACCAGGCGAACCAGACCCCUGAACUGCCUCCUGAAAUCAAAUGACCUCGUCACUAGCUCCCUGCUGCUAGGGUGACCCCUAUGUGUCUUUUCACAUCUCUUUACUACUCAUAAAUGCACACACAUACAUGGGAGAAGAUCUGGUAAAAACAAAGAGAGAGUAGAAAAUCGUGAAAGCAAAAACAAAGAAUCAUCUUCGUCUAAUGUUUCGAGUUUUCAAACAUGGAGUUCAAUCGAGUUCGAGGUGUCGUCUGCAGUGCUGUUCGUGAUCCUGUUUGAGUUUGAUUGUUGUUUCGAGUUUUGGUUGUAGCGUUUGCUCGAUUCCUGUCCGUGUACUAUUGAAAAUUUCAUCAAAUGAAAGAGUUUUGUUAAUUUGAGUCCAUUUCAAAGCUCGUGUGCGAGAUUCAUUUGGAGCUGACACGCGCGAGAUGCUGGUCAUGUUUUAAGUUUGUGAUUCUUGUUCGGAUUUGCUGUUGUUUCUCGGACAGAUUUUGCGGAUUGGAAAUUCUGCAGUCGGACAUCUUGCCACUGAUUGUAGAGCAGUUGACGAGCUAAAUUCUGUCGCAAUGCAUUCAGCAAUGAAGCUGUUGCUGCUUAGUCGUAAUCAAUAGGGAGUCUUUGAAGGAAUUGCCCUUCAAUCUUGCCAGUAAGCUUAUCUGGAGAGCAUCCACUUGUUUUGUUGAAAUUUUGGAUCACUUAUUCAGCAACAUCUGUGAACUGGAUUUGGUUUUUAACUUCCACAAGGUUAGGUAUUUCUUAUCACGCAUUUGUCGCUACUUAGAGAAGGACUGAUUCUUUCUUAUCAGCAACGUCUGUGAACUGGAUUUGGUUUUUAACUUCCACAAGGUUAGGUAUUUCUUAUCACGCAUUUGUCGCUACUUAGAGAAGGACUGAUUCUUUCUUAUCAGCAACGUCUGUGAACUGGAUUUGGUUUUUAACUUCCACAAGGUUAGGUAUUUCUUAUCACGCAUUUGUCGCUACUUAGAGAAGGACUGAUUCUUUCUUAUCAGCAA